rnacentral:rRNA from 1 species
GACGAACGCUGGCGGCGUGCUUAACACAUGCAAGUCGAACGGAAAGGCCCUGCUUUUGUGGGGUGCUCGAGUGGCGAACGGGUGAGUAACACGUGAGUAACCUGCCCUUGACUUUGGGAUAACUUCAGGAAACUGGGGCUAAUACCGGAUAGGAGCUCCUGCUGCAUGGUGGGGGUUGGAAAGUUUCGGCGGUUGGGGAUGGACUCGCGGCUUAUCAGCUUGUUGGUGGGGUAGUGGCUUACCAAGGCUUUGACGGGUAGCCGGCCUGAGAGGGUGACCGGCCACAUUGGGACGGAGAUACGGCCCAGACUCCUACGGGAGGCAGCAGUGGGGAAUAUUGCACAAGGGGCGGAAGCCUGAUGCAGCAACGCCGCGUGCGUGAUGACGGCCUUCGGGUUGUAAACCGCUUUCGCCUGUGACGAAGCGUGAGUGACGGUAAGGGGUAAAGAGGCACCGGCUAACUACG